GAUGAACGCUGGCGGCGUGCCUAAUACAUGCAAGUCGAGCGAACGGACGAGAAGCUUGCUUCUCUGAUGUUAGCGGCGGACGGGUGAGUAACACGUGGAUAACCUACCUAUAAGACUGGGAUAACUUCGGGAAACCGGAGCUAAUACCGGAUAAUAUUUUGAACCGCAUGGUUCAAAAGUGAAAGACGGUCUUGCUGUCACUUAUAGAUGGAUCCGCGCUGCAUUAGCUAGUUGGUAAGGUAACGGCUUACCAAGGCAACGAUGCAUAGCCGACCUGAGAGCGUGAUCGGCCACACUGUAACAGCGACACGCUCCAGACUCCUACGGGAGGCCGCAGUAGGGAAUCUUCCGCAAUGGGCGAAAGCCUGACGGAGCAACGCCGCGUGCGUGAUGAAGGUCUUCGGAUCGUAAAACUCUGUUAUUAGGGAAGAACAUAUGUGUAAGUAACUGUGCACAUCUUGACGGUACCUAAUCAGAAAGCCACGGCUAACUACGUG
rnacentral:rRNA from 1 species